rnacentral:rRNA from 1 species
GGGUUGUGAGGUUAAGCGACUAAGCGUACACGGUGGAUGCCCUGGCAGUCAGAGGCGAUGAAGGACGUGCUAAUCUGCGAUAAGCGUCGGUAAGGUGAUAUGAACCGUUAUAACCGGCGAUUUCCGAAUGGGGAAACCCAGUGUGAUUCGUCACACUAUCAUUAACUGAAUCCAUAGGUUAAUGAGGCGAACCGGGGGAACUGAAACAUCUAAGUACCCCGAGGAAAAGAAAUCAACCGAGAUUCCCCCAGUAGCGGCGAGCGAACGGGGAGCAGCCCAGAGCCUGAAUCAGUGUGUGUGUUAGUGGAAGCGUCUGGAAAGGCGCGCGAUACAGGGUGACAGCCCCGUACACAAAAAUGCACAUGCUGUGAGCUCGAUGAGUAGGGCGGGACACGUGGUAUCCUGUCUGAAUAUGGGGGGACCAUCCUCCAAGGCUAAAUACUCCUGACUGACCGAUAGUGAACCAGUACCGUGAGGGAAAGGCGAAAAGAACCCCGGCGAGGGGAGUGAAAAAGAACCUGAAACCGUGUACGUACAAGCAGUGGGAGCACGCUUAGGCGUGUGACUGCGUACCUUUUGUAUAAUGGGUCAGCGACUUAUAUUCUGUAGCAAGGUUAACCGAAUAGGGGAGCCGAAGGGAAACCGAGUCUUAACUGGGCGUUAAGUUGCAGGGUAUAGACCCGAAACCCGGUGAUCUAGCCAUGGGCAGGUUGAAGGUUGGGUAACACUAACUGGAGGACCGAACCGACUAAUGUUGAAAAAUUAGCGGAUGACUUGUGGCUGGGGGUGAAAGGCCAAUCAAACCGGGAGAUAGCUGGUUCUCCCCGAAAGCUAUUUAGGUAGCGCCUCGUGAAUUCAUCUCCGGGGGUAGAGCACUGUUUCGGCAAGGGGGUCAUCCCGACUUACCAACCCGAUGCAAACUGCGAAUACCGGAGAAUGUUAUCACGGGAGACACACGGCGGGUGCUAACGUCCGUCGUGAAGAGGGAAACAACCCAGACCGCCAGCUAAGGUCCCAAAGUCAUGGUUAAGUGGGAAACGAUGUGGGAAGGCCCAGACAGCCAGGAUGUUGGCUUAGAAGCAGCCAUCAUUUAAAGAAAGCGUAAUAGCUCACUGGUCGAGUCGGCCUGCGCGGAAGAUGUAACGGGGCUAAACCAUGCACCGAAGCUGCGGCAGCGACGCUGAUGCGUUGUUGGGUAGGGGAGCGUUCUGUAAGCCUGCGAAGGUGUGCUGUGAGGCAUGCUGGAGGUAUCAGAAGUGCGAAUGCUGACAUAAGUAACGAUAAAGCGGGUGAAAAGCCCGCUCGCCGGAAGACCAAGGGUUCCUGUCCAACGUUAAUCGGGGCAGGGUGAGUCGACCCCUAAGGCGAGGCCGAAAGGCGUAGUCGAUGGGAAACAGGUUAAUAUUCCUGUACUUGGUGUUACUGCGAAGGGGGGACGGAGAAGGCUAUGUUGGCCGGGCGACGGUUGUCCCGGUUUAAGCGUGUAGGCUGGUUUUCCAGGCAAAUCCGGAAAAUCAAGGCUGAGGCGUGAUGACGAGGCACUACGGUGCUGAAGCAACAAAUGCCCUGCUUCCAGGAAAAGCCUCUAAGCAUCAGGUAACAUCAAAUCGUACCCCAAACCGACACAGGUGGUCAGGUAGAGAAUACCAAGGCGCUUGAGAGAACUCGGGUGAAGGAACUAGGCAAAAUGGUGCCGUAACUUCGGGAGAAGGCACGCUGAUAUGUAGGUGAAGUCCCUCGCGGAUGGAGCUGAAAUCAGUCGAAGAUACCAGCUGGCUGCAACUGUUUAUUAAAAACACAGCACUGUGCAAACACGAAAGUGGACGUAUACGGUGUGACGCCUGCCCGGUGCCGGAAGGUUAAUUGAUGGGGUCAGCGCAAGCGAAGCUCUUGAUCGAAGCCCCGGUAAACGGCGGCCGUAACUAUAACGGUCCUAAGGUAGCGAAAUUCCUUGUCGGGUAAGUUCCGACCUGCACGAAUGGCGUAAUGAUGGCCAGGCUGUCUCCACCCGAGACUCAGUGAAAUUGAACUCGCUGUGAAGAUGCAGUGUACCCGCGGCAAGACGGAAAGACCCCGUGAACCUUUACUAUAGCUUGACACUGAACAUUGAGCCUUGAUGUGUAGGAUAGGUGGGAGGCUU